rnacentral:piRNA from 1 species
UCUAAGACUGGAAAAGCUCAGAAA